UUGGACACCACGAUGCCGUUGACUCCAUGUCGUACCGCCUCCUUCGCAUCCUCGGCUGCUCAGAACAAACAACAGCGGCAGCACCAAUAACCACGAUCCGCCACUAAGCGAAGGUGAUCGGGCAUGGAGAAGCGGUUGCGCUCGUCGGCAAGGCGCCGGCCGGGCCGCGGCGUGUCGACGGUGAGGAAGAUGGCGCCAUAGCCCUCGCGCUCCGCGCGCCGCACCAGCGCCUCAGUGGCGUCGCGGUCCCGGUACACGUAGAGCUGCAGCCAGCGCACAGGAGGGGGGGCGCCGCUGCUCGGGACGGCGGCCGCCACCUCCUCCACGCUCGCCGUCGCCCACGAGCUCAGCUGCAUGCCCGUGCCGAGCGCAGCGCACGCUGCAGGGACCGCGGAGACAAUGGAGCGGCGGUUAUCACGACGUCCCCCACAGUGCCCACUCUCAAGGGGCUCUGCCCACCCCCCCGGCCAGACGGUGUCCCUGGCACUACCAGGGCAGGAGCCCACCUGGGAGCGGGCGCUGUGGGUACGCCACAGAAAGGAAGGACCGAGUCGACAACCUCUGACCAGCAUCUGAAUUCGCAACCUUCUUGACCAGCAUCAGUAAUUGAUAUCAACAAUAACAAUGAUGAUUUAGAAUGUUUUUGCUCACUCUGAGGGAGAAUGAUCCAGGUGUGAGAAUCCACAGACAAGCUGAUCGGCAACCAGAAGCAGCACCAACAAUUGCCCAAGCACUGUGGUCCUGUAUUGGGAUGUUUACUUCUGUAUGUUGAACUUCUUUAGUAACAUAUUUAGCCAACUGUGCUAUCCAACCUACUCACGUGUAUUACUUGUAGGAGGAUACCAGCGUACGCGGGAAAAAAAAAACACGUGUGAGAGGGGUAACACCCCGUCACUGUACAAAUGGAAUACAGAUGGAAAUGAAUCUACUUGCUGUACUGCCACGACGAUGGCUGAAGCGAUGGCGAUGACGACAACGACCGGCAAUGCCUGCACGGGCGCUCACCACGCGCCGUCGCCAGCUCCCCGUCCGGGUGGGCCAUGCGCUGCAUCGCCGUCGGCGCCACGGCCACGGGGAAGCUGAGCGAGCGGCCCAGCACCGAGACGCGAGUGUCCACCGUGGUGACCCCACGCAGCACACGCGGCCGCAGCCGCCACCUGCGCGUCGGAUAGCGCGGGAGGUCGCGAGAUUUCAACUUCACUGCUGGUGUCAAAUUGCUGGUGUCAAAUUGCAAGCCUUUCCCUGCAAGCAGCGAGGAUGAGCGGCACUCCUCCACCUGGAGAAGGCCGCCACGUUGUCCCGGAGCGUGACCUCGCCGUCGGCCCCGGAGCGGUAGUAAUCGUAAACGGCGCGCGGAAGCUUUGCCCGCGCCGCCUCCUCGAAGUCG